rnacentral:rRNA from 1 species
GUGGAGCAUGUGGCUUAAUUUGACCCAACACAGAGAAUCUUACCAGGUCAGGACAUAUUGAGGAUUGACAGUUACAGAAUAUCUUUUUAAGAUAGUGUAUAGAAUGAUAGUUCUCUCAUGAUUAUGUGAUAAGUAGUGCAUGGCCGUUGUUAGUUCGUGGAAUAAUCUGUCUGCUUAAUUGCGUACCUCAUUAACUAAUAAUGUUUAGGUUUAUCUAAACCUUACUAAAACAUUGUUUAUAUAUAUAUAUCUGCAACGAACGUGACCG